CCGGGACGGGAACUCAGCGGAGGGGCGGAGUUGUCCGGUGAGAGGCUGCUCCAGGGUCCCAGGGGAAGGGGCUUCACUUUUCCUGGUUGGGAGACGCGGAGCACAAGGGGCUGUGGGCUGGGGCGGGAGAAAGGUGGUCUUGGCAGCUUCCUGGGAGAAACGGGCUGUUCACCCCGGGAGCUGUGGCGGACACGACUGGGGCACAUCCUCGCCCAGGAGAGCCUCAGCCUCGGGCUUGUACCUUAGGAAGAAACCUUAAGACGUCCUGGCCCGACAGCUACCUGCUCCACAGGAGGAAAAGAAGGGUCCGACCGAACUUGAGCACCGCGGCAGAAUCCGGGCUGGAGCCCAGCUCGCAGGCCCACCACCGGCUUCCUUUCCCUUCACCAAGUUUGCAGCCUUGGAGGAGAGGUGAGGACAGGCGCGCAGAGAUUCAGUAGGGCUGCUGAUUUUCAUUCAAAGCUAAUUUCGUGUAAGAUGUUAGGAAUAAUUUUUUAAAUUCCUGUGACUAGUAAAUGAAUUUCAUUCGCUGUAUCUUAAAAAUGAUACGGUUGAGAAAGAAAAAAAAAAGUUGCACACCCACUCUUCUCUUUAAAGCAAAGUACGAAAACGACUGAGCAGUUAAGAUUUUUGAUGUCUGAGAUGAAGAGAGUGUGGGAGGCAAGCAGCACAGUUAAAAACGUGUAGUCCACCCAAACAGAAAGACCGGAAUUGAAUUGAGGCUUUGCUACUUACCAAGAGGUCAUCUUGAAUUGAUUAUUUGACCUUUCUGAGCCUCAUUUUCCUUAUUUGUUAAACAGGGUUAAAAGUACUAAUUUGAUAGGACAUGAUGAGGAUGAAUCAGGUAAUGCAUACAAAGUGCUUGCCUGGUACAGGUGGGUAGGCACUAAAAAUAGUAAUUUCUUCCUCUUUUCCUCGCAAGUGUAACUCAUUGUUUGGGGAAGAGGGGAAUCAAAUUUAGUCAACUGGAAGAGUUACUAAAGAAAGAUGAUUUAUUUAAACAUGUGUCUUUUUUUUCCCUUGAGACGAUGGAUCCCCAGUGGGUUGGCUUCUGCUGUGAGGAUUGUUCAGUGAGCCAGGGGCAGUGCCAGGAUCUGAAAUCAAAGCUGAAGGCAAUGCCCAGGAGGCCGCAAGGUUUUUUGGUACUUAGCCCAGUCUCACCCAAACAAGUUGGGUUUUAGCAUUAUGAGAUACAGACCUACAUGGAAAUUGAAAAUGAGAACUGAAUAUGCAUUUUUAAACACCAAUUACAAACUAACACGUAUGGGUAAUACUAAUAUUUAUCGAAUUCUAACUAUGUGCUAGGUGCUGUUGUAUAGGCUUUACAUUUAUUUUUCCCAUCAUCUUAUCAUCCCCUUUUACAGAUAAGGAGACUGAGGCAUACAGAGAUUAACUUUUACCAGGCUGCUAAUUUAGUCAGUGGUGAAGCUAAUAUUCAGACCCAAAUGUUUUGGCUCCAGACCUGGUCUCAUUCACUGCAUUGUGCUCUCCUCAUGCACUUAACCAUGUGUCUUACCAGAAAUCAGUACAUAGCAUCCUCAAAGGUUGGGUCUGCAUUUCAUUGUAGUGGUAAUGAGGGGGAAAAAAAAUGAAGAAGAAGAAGACAAAUGGAGUAGGAGUUUGGUAUAAAAGCAUUUCCCCCUCAAGAACCCAAGAGAGUCAUUGAGCUAUGUGCCAACAGUCUCAUGCUUCUCAGCUUCUAAUUCAUCUUUGCCCUGAACUGUGAUAUUUAGAACUAGAACCUGUAAACAUUGCUUUGUUCUCAACCCAAUGCUAGGACUUGUCAAUAGAAGGUGCUAGAGGGACACUGCCUAAAAAAGGGGGGCCUCUUCUUUUCUUCUUGCUCCUGUGUGGUCAGUGGGUGGCUUUCUGGCCUGUGGUGUGCAAGAGAUUAGUGUUUCACAUCAUUAGGUAAGUUUGGCUGACUCCCCAGUGUGUGGCUUCCCAAUAAGCCAUGCUGGCCUCCCAAUGGGUGCAUUCCUAGCAAGUUUCACUGGCACCCCAGCUGGUGGUUCCCUCACCAGCCCAGACUGUGACACCUAAUGAAUUUCAUUGCCAUAGGUUGGGCGACAGCCACAUUAUCUCCAGUAAGGUCUGUGUCUCUGGCUUGGUAGCAUAGAGGACAGGGAUGAGAGCAUGGUUCUUCUAAGUUAUUACCUAAGUUAUUGGGUACUUUCCCACAGCCCCAGAAGUACUGGCUGCUCCCUAAACCACUACUCCUGUGUUUGUUAGUAAUCUCCUCGCUUAGUAGUCAGUCUCCUUGUACUAGUUAAUGCUUUAUAUUAGCUUUUCCCAGUUUUAGUGAUGGUGUUAUUUCUGUCUCCUGCCUGGAUCUUGACCACUACAGGUGUAAAAGGGUCUUGUAGAACCCUGAGGAGAGCACCAUCUGGGGACUCAGAAAUUGGGAUCCUGCCUUUAGCCAUAUAACCUUGAUUAAAUCACAUAGCCUCUCAGAACUUGUUCCCUCAUCUGUAAAAAGGUGAUGAUUUAUGUGACAAGGUUGUGUGAGUAUCAUGUAAAAUUUAAAUGCACUGAAAUGUGGUAGCAAAAAGAAGAUGAGUAUAUUUUCUUUAAGAAAAAAAAUUUACAUGUAUUCUGAGGACUUGUUGGGUUGUUUCCUAGGAGUGAAAAAACAGCAUUUUCUGUCAGAUACAAUGUCAUCAAAUAAAUUGUCGAUCAGUUGACUUUGCUAACUUGCAGAGAUGAAAGCAAAUAGUUGUGAGUCUUUAGUUGUUCAGGUUUACAGCACUAUGAAAAGUAUGACUGAAAUAACAAUCAUUUUGAAAUGCUAGAUUCAGACUAAUUUGAUUAUCUUCUCUUCUGGAACCCUUCACAUUUGCUUUAUUUCUUUCUUCUUGUCUGCUUCACCCUUUCUGAGUUUGAUACCUGUGUCAAGAAUGAAUUUUUUCAUUGCUGACACUCUUUGUGCAGAACAUGGCACUGGAUAUUGCAUUCUGUUAAAAAAGAGUUUGGGAAUCUUAAAAGCUGAAGAAAGAAAAGCAUUCCUACCCCCUUGCACAUUCUCUGGCACAAUGUAAAUGCUCAGCAGAAUUCUACCUAAUAACAGAUAUGUCCAAAGUAACAGCAUAUAAAAUUUCAUUAUAUGACCACCACCUUAAUAUGAAUUUUUAUCUUCAGUAUGUAAUGAUUAUCUCUUUACACAUAUACUAAUGUCUUAAGGAAUGGAAUGAAAAAGAGCACUUAUUGAUGAAGAAAAGACAGAAUAUGCUUAGUAGUGAGGCUGAGGUUAAGAAAAGAAGCCAGAUUCUUCAAGAGCUUGGGACAGGGUCUGAGAGGUGGUAUUGGUGGUAAUAAUGGCAAUGGAGGAUAAACUUGACACACUCCAUAGUUUGUCUGUGAUCAUUCCUAUUAUUAAACCUCCUUUCACUUCUGCUUCAGUAUUCACACACAAAUAUACUAAUCCAUAUUUAUAAGGUAGAUUUACUUAGCAUAAUACCAAGCUUCUCAGACUUUUCUAUCAAAAUAUCUCUCAACAAUGAUAUACUUACCCCACCCCCAGCCAAGAGUAAUCUUAUUUGACGUCCUCCACUUUUAUCUAAAAAUUCAUAUGAAUUUUCUUCUCUGUAAUAGGUUCAUAUUUAUAUGGAUAUUAAAUAUGAUUUUUCUCCCAAAACAUUGCCUAAAAGAUGUUCCAGAAGGAUUUUCUAUGUUUAUCUGCUGGUUUCUUAGCCCAGCCUGGUGACUCCAUGGGUAUCUAUAGCUUAAGUCCAGUAACUAGAUAUGCAAGCCCAAGUCCUAGAAAGAGAAUUUGGACUGCAAAGAUAGAUGUGGAAACACUUUGAAACCUUGGCUCUUCAGCCUUACCCAGCACUGUGCAAAAUGUGAGAAGAGAAAAACACUGAACUCCAGUUUACAAAAUCUUUUGCUAGGCAGAGAAGAGAGGAAAGAUCAGGGAAAAAGACUGUAUUCCAAAGAAAGAAUUGAAUGUUGAGAAAUCAAGCUUCUUGAAGUUAGUGAGAGGAAGGUUUAGGGCUUAGAUGCCUCCAAACACUUGCACAGAACUGCAUAUUUCAUUGGUAUUUUAUCAAAUUACAUUAUAGUGCUAAUUCUCCUUACCUGAAAACCUCAAAUAUUUUGAUGAUGGUAACUUUUAGAUUUAUAUCAAUUACAUUUGUAUGGAAGGGUCAGAACUGUUUCAUUUUGGUCUAGAAUUAAUGUCCGUUGAUUGUGUUUCUGCAUUUCAUAGAACCAUCUUAUUUUUCAGUAUUAGUUAUAUGAUUGGGAUAGAAUAUAUGGUCUAAUGUCUGUAAUGCAGGAACUUCCUCUCAAAUAGUACUGUCAGUUAGUCACCUAGCCCUGUGCAAAAAGAUGUGGGGACAGGUAAAAUUUGACUACUUAAGUCUGAGGGUAUUAGAUCAUUUUAGUUGCUAGAAAGUUCUGAAUGAUGUGACUUUGGUCUUUAUAAAGCACCUUUUUGUGUGAAGUUCCUGGACCAUAUACUAUAUACAAAUUGGGCAAAGAGAACUGCAAAAACAUUUAACUAAUUGAUUCACCUUAACUACAGAGUUGACAAUGUAUGGAGAAAUUUGACCAGCUCAAUAAAUGAAAACAUUAUAAUAUUUUGUUGUUGUUGUUCUGUAGCUUUGAAGUGAUUGCAAUCUUUUUGGUAAAAGAUAAUGGGUACUUUAGUAAAAACUCUGGAUACUGUGGCUGCCUAUUUACCAUAUUCACAAAACACAGCAAGCUAAUACUGGAUCUGAAAAUGUAUACCUUUUUAUGAAGUACUAUACAGGGAUACUUCUUACAUGUCAAUAUCUGAAUUUAUCUUUCUUUUUGUUUUGCUUUUUACUUAUUCUGUGCCUGUCAAUCUUUCAUCAUCAGUUCACAUUCUACUAAACCCCAAAAGAUAUUUUCAUACCUUUUUAUACUUUUAGACCCUCCUUACUUGAUUUUUUUAAACACUUCAGAAAUUCAGGUACUUCAAUUUCAUGCCAUCAAGUAGCUAUAUCUGUCCCCCACUUUUUAUUAUUAAAAUGAGCAGUUCAAUUUGUCACUUUCUGCUUCGUGAUUCUAAAUCUUUUAAAACCAUUUUACCAUUUUUUUUCACGCUUUCAUCCUUACAGUAAACUAUCUAUAAAACACUCUUACUUUUCUAACUGCUUUUUUAAAUAUUAUUAUUCCUUUUCUUUUCCAAAUCCACUUCUCAAUUUAUCCUUUUUUUCUCUAUAGAUCUUCUUAGGAUAUGUCUUCAGUUUCCUAUCAAUUCCCAUCAUAAAUUUUUAAAGUAAACUUAAAGUAUCCUACAUGGAUUUUUAAUAUCAUUUCUACUGCCCAUAUUUUAAUCUUGCCUGUUAUUUUUUUUUAUCAUUUCUGUUGUUAGUUUAAAAUGACAAAAGCUUCCAUUGCAAGAAGAAGCAUAAAGGGACAGUAUGACCAUAAACUCAACUUUGUCAAUGGUGUACAUUAAGUAUAAAGAAAGUUAUGGAAAGAAAGUGAACAUAUUCUCUUUUGAAAUGGUAAGGAACAGUUAGAUGUAUUUUCUAGUGUUUGGAAAAGCAUAUUUCAGAAAAUUCAAGGGAAACUUCAUGAUGCUUCCUUAGCCAUUUUACUGAGAAGCAAAAAUACUUAUGAAUAAUUGGAGGCAAUAAGAAUGUGUUUCUACUCAUACUAAUUUUAAUAGUUUUGAAACCUCCAAACACUGUUCUUUGUAGUGUGGUUUACUUUUAACCGUUUUGAGUGUCGUGAGUAUUUUUCAGAAUAUGAUGAAUACUAGUGAUCUUAUUCUGUCCUGCUGCUCUACCACAGAUACACAUAAGAUAUAUCUUCCAAAUAUUAAAUAUCAUUUCAUGUAAUUUAUAGAUCCACUGAAGCCCAAUCAUUUGCUUGGAUAUGAAAUUCUUUGAAAGUCCAACCUAAAUAAACCUCUUGUAUACUCUUUUGCUUAUAUAUAAUCAGCUGAAAGUUAUCGUGUCUGCUGAACUCCUAUGAAAUGCAACCUGAUCCUUUUCAUGACACUUCUUUCUGCCUUUUAUUAUAAAAUUAGACUUACCUCAACCUCAAUUCUAGGCUACAACUUUUUUAAUAACAUGGCUUAUGUUUGUAUUCCUCACAGAGGUUGAAUGAAUAAAGAUAAAUAUAGUACUAGGGAAAAAACACUACAAUGAAUAUUUAUCUAUUGUAUUUAAUAUGAGAAUGUAUCUAUUAAGCAAAGAAUCAACUGAUGCUAGUAAAGUAAACCCAAUAUUUAAGAAUGUAUUUCAAAAGAUCAAGAACAGCAAGAAGUUUUGAAAGCUGUUAAGGUUUUGAGACAGUUAUCUCCCGUUUUAUCUAUUGAGAAUAUUUUUAAAAGUAAAAGAGGGAGUUUAAGUUUCUUUAAGAGAAAAUUGUAGUUAAGAUGGGUCAGAGAAAAUUUGGAUUCAUUUAAUUCCUUUAGAUUAAAGGAACUAGAUUAAUCUUCCAACUUAAUCUCAAUGAAAUCUUAGGGCAGUAAAAGAAUUAGGAAGUUUGACAAGUCAUUGUCUGUAAUCUGAAGGAAAGUGGACAUUAAGGGAUUGAGUAGAAGAUGAGGGAAAAACAUAACUUUAAUGUGCUUCCCAAGGAGAGAAUGGUGCAUUCCACAACAAUAGACCAUAAAAAUGAGGAUAUCAAGAGAAAGAAGUGGUAACAUGAUGGUAGCAUAGCUUCAUGAAGAACAAGUCAUAUGUGGGGCACCUGGGUGGCUCAGUUGGUUAAGCAUUCUACUCUUGAUUUCAUCUCAGGUCAUGAUCUCAGGGUUGCUGAGUUCUAGCACUACAUUGGGCUGGUACUGACAGCAUGGAGACUGCUUGGGAUUCUCUUUCUCCCUCUCUCUGCCCCUCCCCUGCUCAUGCUCAAUCUCUCUCUCUCUCUCUUUCUCUCUAUCUCUCUCAAAAUAAAUAAAACUUAAAGAAAAAAAUUUUUAAAAAAAGAACAGGUCAGAUGCACAUUUUUACUUAUAAAGCAUGGCUUAUUUGUUGUGGAUCCACGUUAGCUAAAUCAUUAAGUAUUAAUGUCUUCACCACUUUUCUGAUAUCAACAAUGAGUACUCCAGGACCAGGUCUCCAUCAUCUGUUUAAUAUCUUCAAGUAACAGGGUGCCUGGGUGACUCAGUCAGUUGAGUGUCCCACCCUUAAUGCCAUCUCAGGUCAUGAUCCCAGGGUCAUGGGGUCAAUGCCUGUAUCAGACUCCACAAUGAAGAUGGAGCCCACUUGAGGUUCUUUCUGACAAUAAAUAAACAUUUAAUAUCUUCAGGUAAUUUCAACUUGUAAAUAAUCUUUUAGCACAUUCCCCACAUCUGGUUUUACCAGGACUACACAGAAUAGGCCUGUUACUUCCCUCUUACAAGCACCCGCAAUAUUACAUGUGAUCAACUGCUGCCUUUAUUUCCUCAUGUUAAUUUGGUGGGAUAACUCUUGGUCCUUUUUCAAAACAUCUUCUGAGCCUUUUCUUGAGUAAUUCACUGACCCUAAACCUGUCAGAUAUUUUAAGACCGCUAUCAUAAUUUUAAUACCGUAAAUGUAUUCAAUAUAUGUUUAAUGCAAAAUAUACUAUGAAUAACUAAAACUGUACUAUGAAAAAUAUUAUACAUUUCAGAAUAUCACAUAAAUAUUUAAUGAAUUUCAGACCAUGUUAUUUAGAGACAAUUAUGAAUAUUUUACCUAUAGUUAAUAUUGGUUGUGAUAUUGGUCAACUAGUAGUUAUAUAGGAUCUGAAUUUAAAUGACUUUCAUCUAGUUUUGAGUCUUAAUGAAAGAAUUUGCAUAUACUAAGGUCUUUUAGAGUGUAAUGACUGCCAUUUUAAUAAAAUUUCAAAGUUUUGAGGACAUUUUCAUUACAAUAUAAUUCAGCUUCCUACCUUUGGCCAUAUUUAAAUAUUUAUUUCUGUUGUCAACAGUAUCCUUAUAGAACUAGAAAUAAAUAAGGGAGUAAUUCCUUCACUUAGUAACAAUAGGUUUUAAUUUUUUAGAGGAUCCUAUACACUGGUAAUUUGAUUGUGUGACUGCAGGAGUUCAGGAACUCAUUAUUCAGAUGUCUUGCAUACCUCAAGAAGAAUAAACAUUGAAUUUUCCUCUUGAAGACCCCAAAAUAUAUUUAAGGAUGUCAGUUUAUAUAUAAACAUACCCUGAAGCUCCCACUUUAGCAGGAAGCUAAAUAAAAGAAGUUUAAGUUUUCCCAAUACUAAUGGAGAUUUACUUCCCAGCCCUUUUCCCUGGAGACAAGUGUAGUCUCUCCUCAAGGGUAGGAAGAUUUGCAUAUGAUUUUAAGGGCUAGAAACCCCUUUUCUGCUCUCUCCAAAAUGCCUUCAGUAUGUUUUGUCAUAUUGCUUGAUGAUUUUGCGUUAGAGAUUUAUCCUUGAGAUAAUAAAACACAAAUAUCUCUGAAAGGGUUUCUUCUGCUUUAGUCAUAUUCCUAUGGCUACUAGGGAACAAAAUGUGUUUAUAUGUUACAGGAUAAAAGGAAGAUUGCCAGCCAACAAAUCCCUAGAGUCUGUACUACAUUAAACGUUGCUUAGCAAUUUCCACGAUUUUCUCAGUCUAGUUUACAAAUAAAGACAUUAAAAAUCAGGGGCAUGUGGGUAUGUUACAUGAAGUUGUGAAAUUGGUAUUUAUUCUGUGUUUGUAAUCUCUCUAUAUUGAUUUAAAAACAAAAUAGGGGUGCCUGCGUGGCUCAGUCGGUUAAGCGGCCGACUUCGGCUCAGGUCAUGAUCUCACGGUCUGUGGGUUCGAGCCCCGCGUAGGGCUCUGUGCUGACAGCUCAGAGCCCGGAGCCUGUUUCAGAUUCUGUGUCUCCCUCUCUCUGAUCCUCCCCCGUUCAUGCUCUGUCUCUGUCUCAAAAAUAAAUAAACGUUAAAAAAUUAAAAAAAAAAAAAAAAAAGAAAUGGCAGGUUAAUAGGUGGUGUGGUAGGGUGGCAAUAAUUUAGUUGGAUGUUACAGACAGGUGUUUCCUGGGAGGUAAUUUUUAAGCCAGGACUUGAAUGAGAUAUAACCUCCAGUUGCAAAAAUUUUAUAGGAAGGUAUCUUCAGACAGAGGAAAAAGAAGUAUCUAGGACCUGAAGUAGUUAGGAACUUGCCAUGUCAGAGACUAGGUAAUUUUCAUUUGUAUUGUUUUAUGCAUUCAAUUAUACUUUCCCUUAGGUUAAUCUAUAUAAGGUCUUCCACAAAUUGGACCCUGCUUGAAAUUUAAUACUGUCCUGGUCCUUUCUCACCAUGCUCCAUGCUAGUCAGUGCCUCUGUGACUGUGUAAAAGCUGUUUAUUUUGUUUAAUAGCCUCUCCUUGAUUUGUUCCUGGCUGAUUAACUGAAUCCUCUCUUAAACUCUGCCUCAGGCAUUCCCUCUUUUAGGAAGCCAUCUCUUAUUCUCUCCUGCCCACCAUCCAUUGAGUCACUCAGCCUUUGUGCUACCAUUGACUUGUGCACUCGACACUCGGGCUUUACAUUUAUUGAUUUACCUAUCUGCUUUUAUCACUAGUGAGUUUCUUUAGGACCGGACGUUAUUGUAAUUCAUACCUGACUACACACGGUCCACAAUACUAGGGGUACUAAAUAGUUUAAUACUAGUAGUAUAAGUAGACACUCAAUAAAUCAUUGUUAAAUCAUUGGGGUAUCUUUUUGUUAUUACUUAACUAAUGUAACAUUCAUCUUCAGAACAGUUUGUAUGACAUACUUAUUGUAGUUAAUAUCCAUAAAUUAACUCUUCACUCUAGCUGUAUUCUGUAGCUGCUAGGAUGUUUAUCAUUAUUUCAUUUCAAAACAAUAAAAUGUUACAUGAAAUAUAAUCAUUCAUGUUUAAUGCAGACUACACUCAUAGAAAUAUUGUAAAAAUAUUAAUUUCUGACACAGUUUUCAAUUUAGUUUUUCUGUUUAGCAUAUUUAUGAUAGAUUUUCAUCCUACUUUUAAAUAUGUAGGCAUGGAGAACUAGGUACUAUUUAAUGAAAAUCGUGAUUUAAUUGCGUGUUUUAUGUGGCUUGUUGCUUUCUCUUUUUAAUUUAGAGUAGUCGUUAUGUUUGAGAUCUUCAUUACAUUUCACGUACCAGAACUCAAUGUUCUUUCUUAAGUUGGAACCUGAGGGCUUUUCUAAUUCCCAAGUGCCUGGCAGAGGUAGAAUAGCUGGAUGAGAACCUGGGAGGAAAAAUUACAGGAGAUGUGGCAUGGUCAGUCAGAGGAGGAUAUGGGUAUUUCGGCAGCACCAGACUUUUAAGAGAGAACAGAGAUGUAACAUUAAAGUAACCAUGCAGAAUUGGAAAUACAUACUUGGAGCUUCCCCCACCCCAGGAAAUUUCCAGUAUACUGGCACUUGCUCAGUGUCUGAAGAGAUAAGUAUCUACAUGAUUGGCAUAUGUUCUAGGCUUUAUCCAUAGUCAGGAAGUGGUUUCCACCCUACAGGUUCCCCUUGAAUUCAUUGGAGGUACAAUUGUAUGAUACAAAUUUACUGAAUGAACUAAGCUAACGAAUAAAUGUAUAAGUCUUUAAUAUCAGUUCCUUUACUUGUCUUUAAAGUUUAUGUCAAUAUGUACUCCUGGAUUCUUAUUUUAUCUAAUGGGAUAGAAUUUACUACUAAUAGUCUGUUUUGAAGCUCAAAUUGUUUGCUUUGCCCUGUGGGGGCUCCUUCAAGAUGGUUGCUGUCCUUUUGACAUGUGCUUUUGAUUAUUUGAAUACUUUGUUGCUUCUUUAUAUAACAAAAUGUUCCAAUUUUAUCUUACUUUUUCUCUUCCCCAGCUCUGGAAUCUGCCUCCCCACCCCCACGAAGGAACCCUGUUCCCUUUUGUGAAGAAUCCUAUUUAGAAACCAAGAUAGGAUAUUUUGACUUAUUUAUUGCUAUUAGUGGGCCAUUAUUUCUAAGUCUUUUCAGUGGACAGACCUAGGAAAUAUGUGUGUAUAUAUAUGUAAUAUAUUAACUACCUUUAUAUAUAUUAAAAAUGAUUUCAUGCUGAUACUUCCCAUUAGCAUCACAAAUCCCUUUACUUUUCAUAAGAAGAGAUAAUCACUGGCUUAUUUGUGAACAAAACACUAACAUUUUUGAAGAGAUCUGAAAAGUAAUAAUAUUGAUCUCAAAGCCCAUUCAAAUAAGUUUUAUUAAUAUUUAAACAUAGCAUAUAUUAGAAUCUUAGAUAUUGGAGGAAGACAUUAUCUAGGACUGUGAUCGAGAUGUUAUACCGUAGACUCUUGCAGUCAGUUUCUGGAUCUGUGUUGAAAUAGAAAAAUAAGAUAAGGGGGUAAAAGAUUGUCCUAAUCCUUCACAACAUUGUUAACUACAUGGAGAAAGCAUAUUAAGCAUGCAUGACACCCAGAAUCUUGAAAUGAAUGCAUAUUUAUGAGAGGAGUAUAAACAAAUAAGGAAGUGUUACAGUGACAUAGUGACACUACCUACUGGGAAAAAUACUAGUGUUUCUCAUUGGAUAAAUAUGUGGAUACAGUCCUAAUACUAGCCAUUCCACUUAUUAGUAGCUUGACUAUUAUUUGACUACUAAUGAGAAUAACUUGGCCAGAGAUGAAGAGGAGGAGUUGUGAACAUCUAAACAAUGGGACUUGCAUCAUAAGAGCCCUAGGGCUACGUAAUCUAGUUCUUACAGACUUCUCCCAGGAGACUUGGAGAACUUUUCUCUAAUGGUCUGUGUCUCCUCUACUAGGUUGAAAACCAGAGCCUCUCUACUUGGUUUGCUAAUCCCAAAGAUUAAUUCAGUAGAAGUCCUCGCUUAUUUUUACUGGUUCCUUUGCUUUAUUUGGGAAAAUAAAGUGUAAAAAGUGUAGUUGACAGUUUAGAGUUUGUUUUAUGUGUAUAGUAAAACAAAGAUCCCCAUUUUAAUACGGCAUCCUCUAUGCACUUGCUAAAUACUCCCUUGUAAUAAUUUAAUGACCUGAAAAUGAUGUAAAUAUAUAUACGUAUAUAUUCAUGUUAUUUUUAACUUCAGAAAUCAGUGUUUUAAAAGUGAAUACCUGAAGAACUACCACUGUCAUUAGAAAAAUUUUUUGACCAGUGUUUGAAGGUAAAAUUAAGUAACACUGAAUAAGGAGUUAUUAUGUGAUGUACAUCAUAUGUAUUACAUUUUACUUAUUUAUCAAAACUAUGUAUUUGCUAGAGCUGUUAUUAUUCCCAUUUUAUAGAAGAAGAAACUGAGAUUAUAUACUUUAUUGAACUUGGUCAGCCUCUUGUAACUAAUACAUAAUAGAGAUAGGAUUUCGGGGUGCCUGGGUGGCUCAGUCGGUUAAGCGUCCGACUUCGGCUCAGGUCAUGAUCUCGCAGUCCGUGGGUACGAGCCCCGUGUCGGGCUCUGUGCUGACCGCUCAGAGCCUGGAGCCUGCUUCAGAUUCUCUCUCUCUGACACUCCCCUGUUCAUGCUCUGUCUCUCUCUGUCUCAAAAAUAAAUAAACAUUAAAAAAAUUCUUUUUUAAAUAGAGAUAGGAUUUAAAGCCACAUAUGUUUGAUUCUAGACCCCAUACCCUCUUGAGUGCAUCACAUAAAACUUUGCACUGUCCUUGGCGAAAAACAACUUUUGCUAAGUUGAUUCCUUACUUUGUGGUCCAUAAAGGAAGGAUGUUGGUCUAUCUUAGCGAUCUCUAUAUUUUCAAUAAGCAAUAAAUAAUAUUCACCACACAUAAUAGCUUUUUUCAUGGUCUGUAUUCAUUAUUGCAAAAUAACUAUGAUUCAGUGAUGCUUUGAACUUAAUUUUAUUCAUUAAAAUACAUCUGUAUAUGCAUAUGAAAAAUACCAGUUGUGACAACAGAAUAGAGAGUUUUGUUUUGAAAGGUAACUUAAUUUGUAACUGAUAAUUGACCAUAAGUAGAUUAUGAAGGUAUAGACAACACAUAUGUGGGUAAAAGUUGGCCUGGAGUUAAUUUUUUUCUUUCUUUUUUAAUAGAGUUGUUGCCAUUAAACUUUUUUGUUGACGUAUAAUCAACAUACAGUGUUAUUAGUGUCAGGUACACAAUAUAACGAUUCAACAAUUCUGUACAUUACUCAGCGCUUAUCAUGAUAAACAUACUCUUAAUCCCCCUUAUCUGUUUCACUCUUCCCCUACCCACCUCCCUUCUGGUAACUACUGGUUUUUUGUUUGUCUCUUUUUCUUUGUUCAUUUAUUUUGUUUCUUAAAUUCCACAUAUGAGUGAAAUCAUGUGGUAUUUGUCUUUCUCUGCAACUUGGGUUGCAUCCAUAUCUUGGCUAUUGUAAAUAAUGCUGCAGUAAACAUAAGGGUGCCUGGGGUCAUCUUAAAUGAACUUUAUCCAAAAGGGCUGCCCAAUAAGCAGUAGGAUCCCAUCAGAGAGUCCAUGAAGAGAUGAACUGAGAACCAAAUCACAAUGAAGUGCAGGGGAGAGGAUGCUUACCAAUGAAUGGAGAGAGAAGUAAUGAUCUGAAAACCCUGCAAAGAACUGAAACACCCUGCAACAGAAAAACACAAGAGUCAGCUUUGACACCUGUCAAACCAGAGAGCAAUGAUGGCAGCUUACAAAAGUACCAGCCUGUGCCUUCAUCUCUCCUCCAUCCGCCAUCUUGAAGCCUGGCGUGAUCAGAAACAGUACAAGUUAGCAAUUACACAGAGGAAGAAAGACAAGUUUGAAAAGUAGGGGAAUAUCUGUCCAAGCCAUACUGUACCCUGCAGGCCUGCCUUCUGUUGCAUAGCUGAUUAGGUGAGUGCAGAAGCUUUAAUUUUAAAUGAAGCUUGUAGUUUUUGUUAUUACUCUAAAUGUACCUAUCACUUUCAGAAUUGAAGUCGUUUAAGUAACUGAAGUACCAGGGGGAUUUUUAUUAUUUAAGAACAGCUGUGGGAUGCCAACCAAGAUUUUAUCCAGGGGAAAAAGAAGAAUUACCCUAUAGCACACUUUAACAGACAUUAUGAGAGAAAAAGUUACUUAAUGAUUUCAUUUGGCAAUUCUUUUCCUUCAGAAAAUCAUCAUAGAUUUAUAUAUCUAUAUAUCAUAUAUCCAAAAAUACACACUUUAUAUGUGCAUGUAUCGUAGGGAGGAUAUUGCCUUUUGCAGAGUUUUCUUGUUUAAAAAUUCUUACUUGAUUAAUCUCUUAAUUGCAUUUCUGUAUAUUCUUUGUUUCUAAAUUCCUUAGCUGUAAGCAAAUAAGGGUCAGAUUUUUAUAUGCAAGAUUCUGUAUUUUUCUUUAUAAUUGGAGAAGAUCAUAUUUUACCUAAACUCCAUGAGCACAUGAGAUAUGACACCCUAUCAUAUUUGUGUGUGAAUAUUUAUAAAGUAUAAGUCAUCUCAAAUUAUAGGAUCAGAAUUAGAUUUGAAAAAAAAUGUAUUCAAUAAGAUGUGUAAGAGGAGAUAGACUUAAUUCUAAUUGAAUUCACAGAGGAUUUGAAAUUAGAUGUAAAUCUCUAACAUCAUGUUACAUUAAAUAUAAAUUAGUAUUUGAUUUGCAUUCAGAAAAAUGUACUAUGUUCACUUCUGAGUACCAUUUAGACAGAACAUUAGAGCAAUAUCUUUGUUUUUUCUUCUCCCCCUGCCACCUAAAUGUUAUUGAAAAAUCUGUCCAACCUGAUUAGCACUAUUAAAGACUGGUUUUGAGAAAUCCAGAGAAACUAAGAUUUACAUUUUAGUGGGAGAUAGAAUACACUAAGUAUUUUUUGUAAGUGUGGAAAAGUUUUUUAAGAGGUAAAAAUUUUAAUACCUUAAAAACUAACCAAUACUGAAUUUUAGAUCUUACAGCUAGAAAAGAUCUAUAAAACACAAAAGGGUUUCUUGAAUAAAUGUUCCACACUUAGUUUAUAGAAUUAAUUUAGGACAUAGUGUUCUCUAUUCAGUGUGUAGGCAUAAAAGAAAUGUUAUUUGAAACUGAUGUUGGUAAUUAACUUAGAAAACCUUUAGAAUUUGGAUUUAAGUCCUAUGAUUUAGAAUUUACAUGUUAUCCAAAGGAGAUUAGUAUUGGUUAUGACACGGACCCUAAAACCACCAUUUAAUGAGGUGUAUUAAAAAAAGAGUAUUCUAGUAUAAAAAGCUAUUAAUGAUCUAUAAUGACCUCAUUCUUUCUUGUAUGAUGUAGGUAAUAAAGUUUAUAAAAUGUGCAUUUAUACUAUUUCAUUAAUAACCAUGGCUAUUCAUGAAAAAAAUAAAACCCUAAAAAAUAGCAAAAAUGAAGUUAUUAACAUUUAGUAUUACUCUGAAAAUUGAGGCUGCCUAAAAAUACUAGUUGUGAUUAUAUGGCAUUCUGAAUUCAGUGACCUCUUUGACAGUCCUAAUUUCCUACCUAAGAGCUAUUCUCCACUUCUCCCUUACUGACAGAACCCCUUUUUGUUCAGGUUGGCAGUGUUCCCAGAUAAAAUAUUCACCUUCUCAGACACUGUUGCAGCCAAAGGUAGCAAUGUAACAAGAAUGUAGGCAAUGAGAUACAAGUAUAUUUCUGCUGGAGACUUCUGGGAUUAUUUCUGUUUUUCUAACGCAUUCUUUGUGUCCCUUUAUUUUUUUCCAGCCUACAGCACAUCCGAAGAGGGAGAAGCCGUCUUGCCUCUAUGACUAGACAGGCAUGAGGAUAAAAUCUCUGUGAGGAUAAUGGAACAAAGUUGUAGAAGGGGCCUAGAGUCCCUUCCUUUAGACUUCUUGUUAUGUGAGGAAAAUAAAAU
rnacentral:lncRNA from 1 species